ACGGCCCCCAAAGCCAGCCAACCACCUCGUCUGGUAUUCGACAGAAGAAGGAAUAACUGACCAAAAUGGAUGAAGGUGAAUAUGCUGCACUUAGCAGGAGAAGGAUGUUGGUAUCCGAUGCUAUCCUGUCUUAAGGGUCUUCCGAGGCCCACGCAGAUGGCCCUAUAUGUGCUGACUUGGGAGCCUCACUCCAUGUUUCCUCAGCAGAGAGAGGGCAUCUCAGGCUACCUUCUCAAGCCAGUUUGAGUCAACAGGGCAUCACAGGUCACCUGUCGGAAGAGAGCUGGAGGCUGGGAUCCGGCUGGAAGUUGUGAAUCUGGUAUGGCUCCUUCUUACAGAGGAUUUGUGUUGGUGAAGAUUGGGAGUUAUUCUGUUCUUUCGCUAUGGGUCAUUUCAGCAGCACCCCUCGUGAUGCCCUUACUUGGACUCACCAGAUGUCGUUGUAGAAAUGGCUCAUAGUGGAACCCUCCCAUUACUGGAGGUACACUCUUUCUUCCCAAAUGAAGGAGAAGUCACCCCUUUGGGUCUUGAAGCCGGUGGAUGCAGCUGAGACCUGGAUGCUAAGGAAGUAUCCAGAUGAAGUUUGAAUGUCUGAAGAUGAGUCCAUCAGCCUUAAUUUGCACUGCAUCACAUUUGCAAGUUGCAAAAUGGAAUUUGCAAUUGCUUUUCGGCAAUGUUCAAAUUAGCACUUCUUAGCAUAUUAAUGAACUACUUUUUUUUCUUUUUUCAUUAUGUGACCAAUUUUAAUGUAAAUAGCAGUCUCCAUGCAAAGAUUAGGUCAGUGUUUCAUGAGAAUAAAGUUCCAAAGCUUCUUAUGGA